UUUUGCCAUUUGGUAUCUGAUGCUCUGAUGUUUGUGAUCAAUGACAGAGCAUCUCGUUUUGAUGGCAGAUAUAAAUUUUGUAACAGUUCUUGCGACACUGGCUGCUCUUAUUCAGUGAGCUUCUUGUUACUUUUUCCCUGUUUACAUUU